UACGUAGGGCGCGAGCGUUGUCCGGAUUUAUUGGGCGUAAAGAGCUCGUAGGCGGCUUGUCGCGUCGUCCGUGAAAACUUGGGGCUCAACCCCAAGCUUGCGGUCGAUACGGGCAGGCUAGAGUUCGGUAGGGGAGACUGGAAUUCCUGGUGUAGCGGUGAAAUGCGCAGAUAUCAGGAGGAACACCGGUGGCGAAGGCGGGAUCCUGGGCCAGUACUGACGCUGAGGAGCGAAAGCGUGGGGAGCAAACAGG
rnacentral:rRNA from 1 species